rnacentral:misc_RNA from 1 species
AAGAGGUGUGGGUGAAGAACGUGGACGAAGGAGGAGAGGAUGAUGGAGCAGUAGAAGACGAUGGCGAGGGUGGCGAAGACGGACUGCGACGAAGAGGUCGCCAACCAGCCCACCCAGAUCAUCCUGCUCAGCCACUUCGCCGUCUCGGCUUGCGGGAAGAUCGACACCACGAGAGCGCCGAGGGUGAGGAGGGAGAGGGUGA